AGAGUUUGAUCCUGGCUCAGGACGAACGCUGGCGGCGUGCCUAAUACAUGCAAGUAGAACGCUGAAGGGAGGAGCUUGCUCUUCUUGGAUGAGUUGCGAACGGGUGAGUAACGCGUAGGUAACCUGCCUUGUAGCGGGGGAUAACUAUUGGAAACGAUAGCUAAUACCGCAUAACAAUGGAUGACACAUGUCAUUUAUUUGAAAGGGGCAAUUGUUCCACUACAAGAUGGACCUGCGUUGUAUUAGCUAGUAGGUGAGGUAAUGGCUCACCUAGGCGACGAUACAUAGCCGACCUGAGAGGGUGAUCGGCCACACUGGGACUGAGACACGGCCCAGACUCCUACGGGAGGCAGCAGUAGGGAAUCUUCGGCAAUGGGGGCAACCCUGACCGAGCAACGCCGCGUGAGUGAAGAAGGUUUUCGGAUCGUAAAGCUCUGUUGUAAGUCAAGAACGGGUGUGAGAGUGGAAAGUUCACACUGUGACGGUAGCUUACCAGAAAGGGACGGCUAACUACGUGCCAGCAGCCGCGGUAAUACGUAGGUCCCGAGCGUUGUCCGGAUUUAUUGGGCGUAAAGCGAGCGCAGGCGGUUUGAUAAGUCUGAAGUUAAAGGCUGUGGCUCAACCAUAGUUCGCUUUGGAAACUGUCAAACUUGAGUGCAGAAGGGGAGAGUGGAAUUCCAUGUGUAGCGGUGAAAUGCGUAGAUAUAUGGAGGAACACCGGUGGCGAAAGCGGCUCUCUGGUCUGUAACUGACGCUGAGGCUCGAAAGCGUGGGGAGCGAACAGGAUUAGAUACCCUGGUAGUCCACGCCGUAAACGAUGAGUGCUAGGUGUUGGAUCCUUUCCGGGAUUCAGUGCCGCAGCUAACGCAUUAAGCACUCCGCCUGGGGAGUACGACCGCAAGGUUGAAACUCAAAGGAAUUGACGGGGGCCCGCACAAGCGGUGGAGCAUGUGGUUUAAUUCGAAGCAACGCGAAGAACCUUACCAGGUCUUGACAUCCCGAUGCUAUUUCUAGAGAUAGAAAGUUACUUCGGUACAUCGGUGACAGGUGGUGCAUGGUUGUCGUCAGCUCGUGUCGUGAGAUGUUGGGUUAAGUCCUGCAACGAGCGCAACCCCUAUUGUUAGUUGCCAUCAUUCAGUUGGGCACUCUAGCGAGACUGCCGGUAAUAAACCGGAGGAAGGUGGGGAUGACGUCAAAUCAUCAUGCCCCUUAUGACCUGGGCUACACACGUGCUACAAUGGUUGGUACAACGAGUUGCGAGUCGGUGACGGCGAGCUAAUCUCUUAAAGCCAAUCUCAGUUCGGAUUGUAGGCUGCAACUCGCCUACAUGAAGUCGGAAUCGCUAGUAAUCGCGGAUCAGCACGCCGCGGUGAAUACGUUCCCGGGCCUUGUACACACCGCCCGUCACACCACGAGAGUUUGUAACACCCGAAGUCGGUGAGGUAACCUUUUGGAGCCAGCCGCCUAAGGUGGGACAGAUGAUUGGGGUGAAGUCGUAACAAGGUA
rnacentral:rRNA from 1 species